CCUACGGGUGGCUGCAGUAGGGAAUUUUGCGCAAUGAGCGAAAGCCUGACGCAGCAACGCCGCGUGAACUAGACGCCCUUCGGGGUGUAAAGAUCUGUCAGUGGGGACGAAACUUUUCGGUACCCACAGAGGAAGCACCGGCUAACUCCGUGCCAGCAGCCGCGGUAAUACGGGGGGUGCAAGCGUUGUCCGGAAUCAGUGGGCGGAAAGAGUUCGUAGGCGGCACGUCAAGUCUGGUGGUAAAGGCAGAGGCUCAACUUCUGUACGGCACUGGAUACUUGCAAGCUAGAAUGCGGUAGAGGUAAAGGGAAUUCCUGGUGAAGCGGUGAAAUGCGUAGAUAUAAGGAGGAACAUCGGAGGCGUAGGCGCUUUACUGGG
rnacentral:rRNA from 1 species